CGAGCGGAUGAAGGGAGCUUGCUCCUGGGUUCAGCGGCGGACGGGUGAGUAAUGCCUAGGAAUCUGCCUGGUAGUGGGGGAUAACGUCCGGAAACGGGCGCUAAUACCGCAUACGUCCUGAGGGAGAAAGUGGGGGAUCUUCGGACCUCACGCUAUCAGAUGAGCCUAGGUCGGAUUAGCUAGUUGGUGGGGUAAAGGCCUACCAAGGCGACGAUCCGUAACUGGUCUGAGAGGAUGAUCAGUCACACUGGAACUGAGACACGGUCCAGACUCCUACGGGAGGCAGCAGUGGGGAAUAUUGGACAAUGGGCGAAAGCCUGAUCCAGCCAUGCCGCGUGUGUGAAGAAGGUCUUCGGAUUGUAAAGCACUUUAAGUUGGGAGGAAGGGCAGUAAGUUAAUACCUUGCUGUUUUGACAUUACCAACAGAAUAAGCACCGGCUAACUUCGUGCCAGCAGCCGCGGUAAUACGAAGGGUGCAAGCGUUAAUCGGAAUUACUGGGCGUAAAGCGCGCGUAGGUGGUUCAGCAAGUUGGAUGUGAAAUCCCCGGGCUCAACCUGGGAACUGCAUCCAAAACUACUGAGCUAGAGUACGGUAGAGGGUGGUGGAAUUUCCUGUGUAGCGGUGAAAUGCGUAGAUAUAGGAAGGAACACCAGUGGCGAAGGCGACCACCUGGACUGAUACUGACACUGAGGUGCGAAAGCGUGGGGAGCAAACAGGAUUAGAUAUCCUGGUAGUCCACGCCGUAAACGAUGUCGACUAGCCGUUGGGAU
rnacentral:rRNA from 1 species